rnacentral:lncRNA from 1 species
GAUCAAACCAGGAAACACCUGGCUGUUGAGGACUGCCUUGAAAGCUGCCCUAACGCGUGUCUCGAUGCGGUCCCUCCUCCCUCCCUUCGUCCCCUGAGCCUGGCACAGGUCCCCUGGCAGCAGCGUGCAGCUGGCCGCAGCAAAGAAUAACCCUUCAAAUAAGCCCUUACCAGAAAACAGCCUUUGAAGAAGUCAAGAGCAGGUAGGGAUUUUCACUUUGGACAAUAUCCAUGAGAAAUGUUUGCUUGUGUUUUUGACGACGGGCUGUGCAACUGUGUGGGACCUGAUCAGGAAGAGACAGACUAGUCCGGCAUGGUCAUUGCUCGGCUAGAAGCAAGCUUGAAGCAGACCUCUUGGCCUACCCGAAUGCUGACAUGAGGACCCGUACUCGGGGCCGCGUGUCCAGGAAUCCAGUCCCCAGCAGGCUUUGGGCAGGAGCCUGAGUUGCUGCUGUGAUGCUGUGUGGAGGAGGAGGAGGCAAUGUAACAAGCAUGACGCACUGCAGGGCUGGUAUAGACUGAUUUUUAUUUCCUGAUCUUGGUCACCAGACAUGGGUUGAGUUCCUCUGCUCACAGUGCCAUAAAUACUACCAGGAGAUUGUUUUGUUCCUUUAGAUGAGGGCAUAGAG